UGGGAGUCCAGACAUUUUGUAGCCCAUGCUGUGAAAGAAGCAUACCAUUAUCCAUCUUCUUCCCCAUGGUAACAUCGCUGUUUCACCCAAGGGCCACUUCAACCCACCAUCAUUAACUAUGAAGACCCAAGUAGUUGAGGACCCAAGGAAAAGAAAAUGCACUUUGCAUGAAUGGUUUGGACGGACUGAAGACCUUUCCUUCCCUUGACGUAUAAAAUACAGACUGUCAGCUCUGAUGUCCCACCUCUGGCCCGUCUCAGCUUGAAAAGGUCAGAAAAGGUUUGUCCGUGUGGAGGGAAAGUUCAUGUUCAGACUGCUGUUCUGCGGCAGAGGAACAUGUUCACUAAAGCAUUAACAUGAAAAACACAGCUCCUAUAAAGAGGCGUAUUUGUCA